ACAAUAAAAAAAUAUAAAAAUAUGAUAAAAAAUAUUUAUAAAAAUAAAAUUAUACUAUAUAAUAUCGUAAUGAUUAGAUUAUAAUAUAAUUUUUAUGAUUUUUUAAUAUGUUUUUUACUAAUCUUUUUUGGGCUGAUAAAAUUUAGAUAAUUUUCAAUACCAAAUAGGAUUCAUGUCAGUUUGAAGUAGGGGUGGGGUGUGUGUCAAUGAGUCACCGGCUUGUGUUUAGCUUGUUUUAUAAUCGACUCGAACACGAGCUGGCUUGUUAAAGUAUCGAGCCGAAAAAUUUAAUUUGUAUUCGACUCGUUUAUUAACAAGAACAUGAGUUGGAUCGCAAAUAAUAACUUAAAAGAAUUACAUAUAUAUAUAUAUAGAGAGAGAGAGAGAGAGUGAGAGAGAGAGAAAAUAAAUUUACGAAACUUUAUCCAUUAGACUUUAAUCUAAUGGUUGAAAUUUUAUAUAAAAUGAAUUUUUUUUAAUUGAACCGGCUUUAUAUUUAGGAUGGUUUAAAAAUUAGAUAAUAAAAGUUUAUGCUAUAUAUAUAAUUAUUUAUUUAUAUAUAAAUAUAAAAUAUAUUUAUUCGAGCUAUUAUCGAGCUGUUGAAAAAUUUAGCUUGUGAUCGGCUCGUUUACUAAAUGAACAAUUCGAUCUCAGGCAGUCGAGCACGGGCCGUCUUGCGAACAGUGAGGUAGACUG
rnacentral:lncRNA from 1 species